rnacentral:rRNA from 1 species
UACGAAGGGGGCUAGCGUUGCUCGGAAUCACUGGGCGUAAAGGGUGCGUAGGCGGGUUUUAAGUCAGGGUGAAAUCCUGGAGCUCAACUCCAGAACUGCCUUUGAUACUGAAGAUCUUGAGUCCGGGAGAGGUGAGUGGAACUGCGAGUGUAGAGGUGAAAUUCGUAGAUAUUCGCAAGAACACCGGUGGCGAAGGCGGCCAACUGGACGAAUACUGACGCUGAGACACGAAAGCGUGGGGAGCAAACAGG